rnacentral:rRNA from 1 species
GUAGGAGCCAAGCGUUAUCCGGAAUUACUGGGCGUAAAGAGCGUGUAGGCGGUUCAGCAAGUCGGACGUGAAAGCUCCUGGCUCAACUGGGAGAGGACGUCGGAAACUGAGGAACUAGAGGGUGAUAGAGGCGAGUGGAAUUCCCGGUGUAGUGGUGAAAUGCGUAGAUAUCGGGAGGAACACCAGAGGCGAAGGCGGCUCGCUGGGUCACACCUGACGCUGAGACGCGAAAGCCAGGGGAGAGAACGGGAUUAGAAACCCCGGUAUUCCUGGCCGUAAACGAUGUCAACUAAGUGUAGGCGGUUGAAAAAGCCGUCUGUGCUGAAGCCAACGCGAUAAGUUGACCGCCUGGGGAGUACGGCCGCAAGGCUA